AGCGGUAUCAUUGCUUCUGCUCCAUAAGCUAAAUUGAAGGAAAAUUCUCCUGUCGGUAUGUGGAUAGUCAUCCGAUAUGUUCAUAAGAUCGGAUAUAGCUCUUCCAUCCAGAGGUCUUUGGCUUCAUUCAGUUGGAUUUUCAGUCUAUGCAGGAUUGUCCGGUUGAUUACUUCCACUUCACCAUUUGACUGCGGAUGACCGAUCGAUGUGAGUUUGUGUGAAAUAUGAAAUUUUGCAUAAAAUUCUCUGAAAU
rnacentral:lncRNA from 1 species